CUAAAGUCUCCAGCAGUUCAUGAGAACAUGGGAGAAGAGGCAUCAUUAGCCCCACAGCAGCUGCAGCCCACUGGAACUAGCAAUAAAAUGAGUGUGAAGACAAAAGCUCAUGAGCUGAAAGUGGAUUCCAGGCAGACCUCACAGCCAUCUCCUAACCAUCAGCAAGUUGAGGUGCAAAACCUGGUGCACUCUGUGGUCAAGGAAUUGUGGGAGAUGCACGACCUUGGAGGAGAAGGUCCAAGGGUUCUAUCUGGAAAGCACAAGCCAGUUCCAUCUGAACUUUUUAUACAAAGUUUAACCUGCGCACAACAUCUCACGAUGACCACCAGGCGCAAUUACUGCAAGCAUAUCUAUGAACUGUGCUGGGAGAUGCUUUUGGAUAUCUUUCCCGACGAUUCAAAACCCGCUUGGUGCAGGCCA